rnacentral:rRNA from 1 species
GAUGAACGCUGGCGGCGUGCCUAAUACAUGCAAGUCGAGCGAACAGACGAGGAGCUUGCUCCUCUGACGUUAGCGGCGGACGGGUGAGUAACACGUGGAUAACCUACCUAUAAGACUGGGAUAACUUCGGGAAACCGGAGCUAAUACCGGAUAAUAUAUUGAACCGCAUGGUUCAAUAGUGAAAGACGGUUUUGCUGUCACUUAUAGAUGGAUCCGCGCCGCAUUAGCUAGUUGGCAAGGUAACGGCUUACCAAGGCAACGAUGCGUAGCCGACCUGAGAGGGUGAUCGGCCACACUGGAACUGAGACACGGUCCAGACUCCUACGGGAGGCAGCAGUAGGGAAUCUUCCGCAAUGGGCAAAAGCCUGACGGAGCAACGCCGCGUGAGUGAUGAAGGUCUUCGGAUCGUAAAACUCUGUUAUUAGGGAAGAACAAAUGUGUAAGUAACUAUGCACGUCUUGACGGUACCUAAUCAGAAAGCCACGGCUAACUACGUG